rnacentral:ncRNA from 1 species
UAACAUGAGAGUUUGAUCCUGGCUCAGGACGAACGCUGGCGGCGUGCCUAACACAUGCAAGUCGAGCGGAGAUGCAGCAAUGUAUCUUAGCGGCGGACGGGUGAGUAACACGUGGGUAACCUGCCUCAUAGAGGGGGAUAGCCACCCGAAAGGGUGAUUAAUACCGCAUGAUGCGGAGCUUGGGCAUCCAGGCACCGUUAAAGGAGAAAUCCGCUAUGAGAUGGACCCGCGGCCCAUUAGCUAGUUGGUGAGAUAGCAGCCCACCAAGGCGACGAUGGGUAGCCGAUCUGAGAGGAUGAACGGCCACAUUGGAACUGAGACACGGUCCAGACUCC